rnacentral:rRNA from 2 species
AUAACGGUCCUAAGGUAGCGAAAUUCCUUGUCGGGUAAGUUCCGACCCGCACGAAUGGUGUAACGAUCUGGGCACUGUCUCAACUACCCACCCGGCGAAAUUGUAGUACCGGUGAAGAUGCCGGUUACCUGCGGCAAGACGGAAAGACCCCAUGGAGCUUUACUGUAGCCUGAUAUUGGGUUUCGGAAAUCUAUGUACAGGAUAGGCGGGAGACUGGGAAACAUGAGCGUCAGCUUGUGUGGAGUCGAUGUUGGGAUACCGCCCUUAGGUUUCUGGAAUUCUAACCUGCGGCCGUGAAUCCGGUCGGGGGACAUUGUCAGGUGGGCAGUUUGACUGGGGCGGUCGCCUCCGAAAAGGUAACGGAGGCGCUCAAAGGUUAGCUCAGCACGGACGGAAACCGUGCCUCUGAGUGUAAACGCAAAAGCUAGCCUAACUGCGAGGGUGACGGCCCGAGCAGUAACGAAAGUUGGAGUUAGUGAUCCGGCGGUAUGUGAAUGGAAAUGCCGUCGCUCAACGGAUAAAAGCUACCCUGGGGAUAACAGGCUGAUCUCCCCCAAGAGUCCACAUCGACGGGGAGGUUUGGCACCUCGAUGUCGGCUCAUCACAUCCUGGGGCUGUAUUCGGUCCCAAGGGUUCGGCUGUUCGCCGAUUAAAGUGGUACGCGAGCUGGGUUCAGAACGUCGCGAGACAGUUCGGUCCCUAUCUGUCGUGGGCGCAGGAUAUUUGAGGAGCUCUGUCCUUAGUACGAGAGGACCGGGAUGGACGUACCUCUGGUGCACCAGUUGUCAUGCCAAUGGCACGGCUGGGCAGCUAUGUACGGAACGGAUAAACGCUGAAAGCAUCUAAGCGUGAAGCCGACUCCAAGAUUAGAUAUCCCAUCGUAUAACGAGUAAGACCCCUUGAAGACUACGAGGUUGAUAGGCUGCGUGUGUAAGUGCCGUGAGGCAUUCAGCUUGGCAGUACUAAUAGGUCGAGGGCUUGACCAC